CUUUCGCUUACCCAACUCAUCCUGUUUAAUGUACAGACUGAUCCUUCUUGGGCUUAUUCUCAGCUUUAUUUGUGAUUCACAAUGAAACAAGCAGUAUUACAGCAACUGUAAACUACCAAAUUAUUUUUAAUCCACGGAGCUCCAAGUCUUUUUUACAAAGAGGAUAAAAAAUUACCCAGCUUUACAGAUGAAAACACAAACCCAAGACAUGUAGUACAGAGACAAAUCAAGGCACCCAAAACUGCGUUUAAAGUUUCGAUCUUGCACUGGGCUUCAUUUCUUUGGUUGCACUGAGGCUGGCAAAUUUGAGGCUGUACACGAGUAGGUGUACAACAACACGGAAAGGAUCACCACCUGGGAGACAGGAGGGGAACAAACCAAGGGACUACCACUGCGCUUCCCAGCUGCUACAGCAACCUCAGAGCUGUAAGUAGCUAUGCAGGCCUCGCGUUUCACCAGGUAAUUCAUCAUGAGAGAGGCUGCCAGCACUGCCAUUUUCUG
rnacentral:lncRNA from 1 species